UACAGAGGUCUCAAGCGUUGUUCGGAUUCAUUGGGCGUAAAGGGUGCGUAGGUGGCGCGGUAAGUCGGGUGUGAAAUCUCGGAGCUUAACUCCGAAAUUGCAUUCGAUACUGCCGUGCUUGAGGACUGGAGAGGAGACUGGAAUUCAUGGUGUAGCAGUGAAAUGCGUAGAGAUCAUGAGGAAGACCAGUGGCGAAGGCGGGUCUCUGGACAGUUCUGACACUGAGGCACGAAGGCCAGGGGAGCAAACGGG
rnacentral:rRNA from 1 species